AUUGAACGCUGGCGGCAUGCUUUACACAUGCAAGUCGAACGGUAACAGGCCGCAAGGUGCUGACGAGUGGCGAACGGGUGAGUAAUGCAUCGGAACGUGCCCAGUCGUGGGGGAUAACGCAGCGAAAGCUGCGCUAAUACCGCAUACGAUCUGUGGAUGAAAGCGGGGGCCCGAAAGGCCUCGCGCGAUUGGAGCGGCCGAUGUCAGAUUAGGUAGUUGGUGGGGUAAAGGCCCACCAAGCCAACGAUCUGUAGCGGGUCUGAGAGGACGACCAGCCGCACUGGGACUGAGACACGGCCCAGACUCCUACGGGAGGCAGCAGUGGGGAAUUUUGGACAAUGGGCGCAAACCUGAUCCAGCAAUGCCGCGUGCAGGAAGAAGGCCUUCGGGUUGUAAACUGCUUUUGUACGGAACGAAACGGCUCUGGUUAAUACCUGGGGCUAAUGACGGUACCGUAAGAAUAAGCACCGGCUAACUACGUGCCAGCCGCCGCGGUAACAC
rnacentral:rRNA from 1 species